rnacentral:lncRNA from 1 species
GCGUUAAAGUUUGAAAAGUUCCAAGUAUAAUUACCUUUUUGCGAUGUAAAAAAACAUAAACCGACAAGUGUAGUUAUUACAAUAUUAUUCAUACCGACAAAAAAACCUUCGUUGGAAGAGGUAAAUGUCUUGAUGAAGAGGCUGAUACUGUACAGGUUAGGUGACAGUUAUUAACAGGAUUUAUGUAACAGCGUAAAUUGUUUUAGUUUGACCACACAACAUUCCAACAUGACUGAUAACAGGUCAAAUACUUUGUUCACUGAUAUUGUAGAAAAUGACAAGUGUUAAACCAUUCAAACAGGUAAACCAACGGUCUUGUCUACAUAAAACAUGACAAGCCCGUUAUCAAAAGUUAACAAAGAAUGUCCUCGAUUUUAUAAUAGUAUAUAAGAUUUUCGUGUGUAUUUUUGUCUUGACGCCAUCUAAUUAACUGUCAGAAUGACCUCCGAUUAUUGCCGAUGAUCACUUAUAUAACCCUAUAUAAACAUAAACAUAGAUAUAAACAGAUAAAGACCUCUGGAUUUUUAUAGGUUUUUUUAUAUUAUUUUAAAAGGUUAGAAAAAAAUAAGUUUGUCAAUAUUUUUUUGUGGAUAGAAUAAGUAAACGAAAUGGCUCACCUUUGUUUCACUUUCAAUGUUGACAUUCUUUGUCUUUUAAUGACUGAACACGACUUAUACAUGCGUAACCAAUAUAAACUUAAUGGGUUAAAUUGAAGGGCACAUGAAGACGAAUUUAAUGAGAUCAAAUUAUUCAUUUGCAAGUAGGAAUGUUAAUCUAAAAUUAAUACUCGAGUACUCGGAUAAAUCUUUAACGUCUAGUGAAAAAUUUCUGUUAUGAUGUCGUAUUGUUGGUUCUUACCUUUCAUAGACCUAAUUACAAAUGAUGACAUCGCUUGACAUCUUAACAAAAGACAUACAUAGUGUUAGAAGAACUCAAACUAUGUGACUACAAACUAUUAUUAUACUGGUCCUUGAUUUUGUGUCAAUAGAGUAAUGAAUAACGGACCACUGUUUCUACAAAAUAAUUUAGCAAUAAUUGUAUGUGUGUUCAUUAACCAAAUCAGAGACAUGUAAAAAAACCGCCA